AACGAACGCUGGCGGCAUGCCUAACACAUGCAAGUCGAACGAUGCCUUCGGGCAUAGUGGCGCACGGGUGCGUAACGCGUGGGAAUCUGCCUUUCGGUUCGGAAUAACUCAGGGAAACUUGAGCUAAUACCGGAUAACGUCGCAAGACCAAAGAUUUAUCACCGAAAGAUGAGCCCGCGUAGGAUUAGCUAGUUGGUGAGGUAAAGGCUCACCAAGGCGACGAUCCUUAGCUGGUCUGAGAGGAUGAUCAGCCACACUGGGACUGAGACACGGCCCAGACUCCUACGGGAGGCAGCAGUGGGGAAUAUUGGACAAUGGGCGAAAGCCUGAUCCAGCAAUGCCGCGUGAGUGAUGAAGGCCUUAGGGUUGUAAAGCUCUUUUACCCGGGAAGAUAAUGACGUUACCGGGAGAAUAAGCCCCGGCUAACUCCGUG
rnacentral:rRNA from 1 species